AGAAUUCUGCGGCACCAAGUACGCUGCAACUUCUAAAGGACAAACCACUGCAGCACAAUGGUGGAGCACCUAUUUGGGUCAUGGCACAGCAAACAUUUUGCAUUAGAAAGCUCACCGCAAAAGAGUUAUGUUAGUUAGGCCACAUUGUAAGAAAAUAUUGUGCAAUGGAAUAUUUGAAUUUAUGCUUCUUAUUGGACACGUUCAGAUAGGACCCCAGAGACACGUCAGGGAUGGAGGUCGGAAAACACUGAAUUGUCCUUAUCCUUCAACAGUUUUUUCAGUUUUGUGCCUAGUUAACACACAACCCAGCUAUGUUUUAAAACUGUAAUUCCUGGGGGGGUUGGAGGGGCGCCAUGUGCCACUGACGUGUUUUCCGUUUGCUCCCGCAGUAUUCUUAAAUGUAUGUGAAUUUAGCAGCAGAACCGUACUUAUUUUCAAGUAUUAGUUUGGUGAUCCCUUUCCGUAAAAACCAAGACUACUUUGCUUUCGAAUGUCAGCAUGUCGACAAAACAUAAUGCCAAAAACAUGACUUUGAGAAAACUCGGCCUACAAGACCCAUACUCAUCACCGCCCACUCCUGAGUCUGAUGGCCCGGGGACUCACACUUUACCCGGGGGUGCGGCUUGGCCUGGCGGCACUGCAAUGAACAUUCUCGAGGCCAUCAAACUACUACACUCGGAAAUAGUUGCUACGAUUGAGGCCCGAAUACAGGAGGUUUCUGAUACUUUAAAAGCAGAUCUAACCAUCCUGUGGAACGAGACUGUGCCAGCAAUCUCAUCACUCAAAACAACAACAGAGUUGCACACUACAACGAUUGCAGCACUGGAGACCUCCACUACCAAUGUCUCUGACUUAACUACCUCCCUGGAGGCUGACGUGAAUCGCCUGGCUGCAGAUUUUAAAAAGGUGCAGGAGAGUUAUGAGUUUAAAUGGAUUCUCUCGCCGCAAUAACCUGAGACUUGUAUUGGUCCCAGAGUCAGCAUAAAUGCCUCGCGCCACGGAUUUUGUUUCUGGGCUAGUGAAGAAUGUUCUUGCCUUGGAUGAGAAUCCCCUGAUUGAUCUUGCCCACCGGUCGCUGUGCCCAAAGCCCCGGGAUGGUGAGAGGCCCUGUGACAUAUUUACUGAAGUGCACUUUUUCCAUGAGAAGAUGGAGAUUCUCCGACGAGCCCGCAAUACCACUCUGAGCUUUCAAGGACAGAGCUUCUACCAGGACUACUCCCCCACUGUUUCCAGGCAGCGCGCAGCUUUCGGGCAGGCCAAAUGACUACUACGGGACCAUCCAGGUGUGAAGUAUGGAUUGCGAUUCCUGGUCAGUUAUUCUCCAUCUCAUGAGGGUAAAGACUACACAUUUGAGUCUCUGGAUGAGGCCAUGGCUCACAUUCAACGUCACAUGAAGAAGUCUUGAACUUGCCCAUAGAUCAGCAAUUGUUGCUUGCGAACUGUGAAUAGACCUGAGCCCUAGGACAAUGCCUCGGGACUACCUGGCAUGAUGACUCCUUGCUGUCCUCAGUCCACCUGCUGCUCCAGUUUCAACAGUUCUGUCUGCGGCUAUGGAACCCUGACCUGUCCACGGGACGUGCUACCUGUCCCAGACCUGCUGUUUUCAACCCUCUAGAGACAGCAGUAGUGGUAGAGAUACUCUGAAUGGUCAGCUAUGAAAAGCCAACUGACAUUUACUCCUGGGUUGCUGACCUUUUGCACCCUCGACAACCACUGUGAUUAUCAUUAUUGGACCCUGCUGGUCAUCUAUGAACAUUUGAACAUCUUGGCCAUGUUCUGUAAUAAUGUCCACCCGGCACAGCCAGAAGAGGACUGGCCACCCCUCAUAGCCUGGUUCGUCUCUAGGUUUCUUCCUAGGUCCUGGCCUUUCUAGGGAGUUUUUCCUAGCCACCGUGCUUCUACACCUGCAUUGCUUGCUGUUUGUGGUUUUAGGCUGGGAUUCUUCACAGCACUUUGAGAUAUCAGCUGAUGUAUAAAAAAAUGAUUUGAUUGUGGUGUCAGGUACUUUUUAGAGAAACUGUAUAAUAUUGUGAUGAGACAACAUACAUGUUUUUAUCCAAAAUGCACAGUGUCGUGGCAGGCUACAUUGUCAAUCCACUCAUUAGGCUUUGAGACAUGAGAAUAUCAUAGAAUGAGCUUCCAUUUUUACGAAGGAUGUUUUACAGAUGUUGGUCACAAUAAACCCAGAUUUUACAUUUA